rnacentral:rRNA from 1 species
AACGAACGCUGGCGGCAGGCUUAACACAUGCAAGUCGAACGCAUCCUUCGGGGUGAGUGGCAGACGGGUGAGUAACGCGUGGGAACGUGCCCUUCAGUUCGGAAUAACCCAGGGAAACUUGGGCUAAUACCGGAUACGUGCGAGAGCAGAAAGAUUUAUCGCUGAAGGAUCGGCCCGCGUCUGAUUAGCUAGUUGGUGAGGUAAUGGCUCACCAAGGCGACGAUCAGUAGCUGGUCUGAGAGGAUGAUCAGCCACAUUGGGACUGAGACACGGCCCAAACUCCUACGGGAGGCAGCAGUGGGGGAUAUUGGACAAUGGGCGCAAGCCUGAUCCAGCCAUGCCGCGUGAGUGAUGAAGGCCUUAGGGUUGUAAAGCUCUUUCAGUGGGGACGAUAAUGACGGUACCCGCAGAAGAAGCCCCGGCUAACUUCGUGCCAGCCGCCGCGGUAAAAC